rnacentral:tRNA from 1 species
GCCCGGGUGGUGAAACUGGUAUACACAAGGGACUUAAAAUCCCUCGGUCGAAAGAUCGUGCGAGUUCGAGUCUCGCCCCGGGCA